GAUGAACGCUGGCGGCGUGCUUAACACAUGCAAGUCGAACGAAGCACUUUAUUUGAUUUCCUUCGGGACUGAUUAUUUUGUGACUGAGUGGCGGACGGGUGAGUAACGCGUGGGUAACCUGCCUUGUACAGGGGGGAUAACAGUUGGAAACGGCUGCUAAUACCGCAUAAGCGCACAGCAUCGCAUGAUGCAGUGUGAAAAACUCCGGUGGUAUAAGAUGGACCCGCGUUGGAUUAGCUAGUUGGUGAGGUAACGGCCCACCAAGGCGACGAUCCAUAGCCGACCUGAGAGGGUGACCGGCCACAUUGGGACUGAGACACGGCCCAAACUCCUACGGGAGGCAGCAGUGGGGAAUAUUGCACAAUGGGCGAAAGCCUGAUGCAGCGACGCCGCGUGAGCGAAGAAGUAUUUCGGUAUGUAAAGCUCUAUCAGCAGGGAAGAUAAUGACGGUACCUGACUAAGAAGCACCGG
rnacentral:rRNA from 1 species